UUUACAGGGCCAAUGUCGGGGAAAUUCAUGAGCGGACACUUUUCUGACAGAAGUGAGAGUUUUCGCAAAGUAACCAAGCCAAGCAAAGCAGUGACAGUGCCAGGAAUAUAUGCUAUCUGCGCUCACCUCUUUCUUUUUGCUCUUUCUCAGACCUCCAACAGAUUGGGGAAGGGGGAAGGGAAGACACCAGAAGCAUCUCUAAAACCACUCUUGUUAUAGUCUAUACUCCAGGAGUGGACAGCAGGAAACCUCCGCGCACUAAGUGUGGUACUCAUGCCUCACAGGCCGCACUUCAUUUCAUUCUGGCACCCGGGGCCAUUACUUACCCAGUGAAAGAAGCCUCUAGAGUAGAAUGAGGUGCUUGAAUAGCUACCGACCCUUGCCGUGGACAGAAACUACAGCUGAAAUUCUCUCAUAGAAGCCUGGGAAUGAUGGCCUCAUAUGUAUAGCUGAACUUUUACUGAAGCACUGAGCUCUGAUGAAUGCAAUUAAGUGAGUAAAGACCAGACUCCAUUACAAAACUGGGGAUAGGAAGAGCAAUAUAUGGACAAAAGAAUGAAAGAAAAACAGUCACUGAGGGAAAAGAAAAUCGGAGAGAGAGAAACAGGAUGCGAGUGGAGAGGGGCAGGAAUAGAGGAACAUGCAAAAUCCGAAGCAAGCUCCAGGCUCUGAGCUUUCAUCACAGAGCCAGAUGCAUGGCUUGAACUUACGAACCAUGAGAUUGUGACCUGAGCUGAAGACAGAAGCUUAACAUACUGAGCCAUCCAGACACUCUUAAAGCCUCACAUUUAAAUCACUGUUUCCUUUGUUUAGAUUACAAAAUAAUGAUCAACAUAUUAGAUGUUGAAAGUAAAACUUACUUUUAUUACUUUUAUUAAAUUCUCCACAGGAAAUAAUAUACGUAAUAGAUCAAUGACGUUUGCAAUUUA